rnacentral:lncRNA from 1 species
GUGGGAGAGAGGAGGGGAUGAGAAGAGUCAUCUGGAGGAGAAAGAGAAUAAUAGGCAUCUGGAGGAGCAGGAGCUAGAGAAUAGGAGGCAGCAGGAAAUAGAGGAGUGUAAGAGGAGGCAGCAGCAGAGCACAGUUGGAUGGAAAUGGAGGAGGGUAGGAGAGAGGCCGCAACAGGAGGAGGAUCAAAAAAUCUUGGCGUCAAACUCAGACUGCUGCUCCCAACUCUAUUCAUGGUCCUUCUUGCUGUUGUUAAUGGUAAUCUUGAGAGAAUGAGAGUGAACGCAACAUCGAGCUUGCUCGUACUAAGGCGGUACAUCAUGCUCUGCUGUAGUCUCAUUAUAAAGGAGUCUCUCGCUAGUGUGAGUACUAAGUUUAGAGUGAUGUUUAGUGCAUCUCAUCGUACCAGUAGACUUUCACUCAUAUGAGUGCUGUUAGUUUUAGGUGAGCCUUUAAGUUUUGUGGUGUGAGUAUUAAUAGUUUAGGGUGAUCU